CGAACGCGGUUGCCCCGCAAGGGGCAACUGAGUGGCGAACGGGUGAGUAACACGUGGGUGACCUACCUUCGAGUGGGGGAUAACGUCCCGAAAGGGACGCUAAUACCGCAUAACAUCCUGCCUUUGAACAGGCGGCGAUCAAAGCCGGGGACCGAAAGGCCCGGCGCUUGAUGAGGGGCCCGCGUCCGAUUAGCUAGUUGGUGAGGUAACGGCUCACCAAGGCGACGAUCGGUAACCGGCCUGAGAGGGCGGACGGUCACACUGGGACUGAGACACGGCCCAGACUCCUACGGGAGGCAGCAGUGGGGAAUUGUUCGCAAUGGGCGCAAGCCUGACGACGCAACGCCGCGUGGAGGAUGAAGGUCUUCGGAUUGUAAACUCCUGUUGCCCGGGACGAAUAGCUCCGACCUAAUACGUCGGAGUCUGACGGUACCGGGUGAGGAAGCCCCGGCUAACUCUGUGCCAGCAGCCGCGGUAAUACAGAGGGGGCGAGCGUUGUUCGGAAUUACUGGGCGUAAAGGGCGCGUAGGCGGCCUGCUAAGUCGAACGUGAAAUCCCCGGGCUCAACCCGGGAACUGCGUCCGAUACUGGCAGGCUUGAACUCGGGAGAGGGAUGCGGAAUUCCAGGUGUAGCGGUGAAAUGCGUAGAUAUCUGGAGGAACACCGGUGGCGAAGGCGGCAUCCUGGACCGAUAUUGACG
rnacentral:rRNA from 1 species